GGGGAAGAGAAAUGGUUCGUUGCUCCUCGUCCUUCAGAUGUCCAGCUGUAGUUUGAAGUCAUGUUAAUUGAAAAAUGUCCUGAGUGUGUUGCUAAGACCCGUGUGCGUCUACAAGAGGUCCUCCUCAUUCCUGAAGCUGCGGGAUGAAGAGAGGAGGAGGGAAUGGGGCCGAUAAAGAGCACUGAGCUGAGCUGCUCUCCUCCCGGUGAUCGACUGCUGCUGCUAACGCUGUUGACCCUGCAGGAGCUGAGGCUUGUUCUGACGGCUACCUUUUACUUGCCUUCCAAAGGAAAAAAAACUAUCCCAAAAAAUGCCAAAUCAAUCUGAGGAAAGUGUAAGAAUAGAUUGC